rnacentral:rRNA from 1 species
AGUGAACGCUGGCGGUAGACCUAACACUGCAAGUCGAACGGCAGCACAGUAAGAGCUUGCUCUUACGGGUGGCGAGUGGCGGACGGGUGAGGAAUACAUCGGAAUCUACUUUUUCGUGGGGGAUAACGUAGGGAAACUUACGCUAAUACCGCAUACGACCUACGGGUGAAAGCAGGGGAUCUUCGGACCUUGCGCGAUUGAAUGAGCCGAUGUCGGAUUAGCUAGUUGGCGGGGUAAAGGCCCACCAAGGCGACGAUCCGUAGCUGGUCUGAGAGGAUGAUCAGCCACACUGGAACUGAGACACGGUCCAGACUCCUACGGGAGGCAGCAGUGGGGAAUAUUGGACAAUGGGCGCAAGCCUGAUCCAGCCAUACCGCGUGGGUGAAGAAGGCCUUCGGGUUGUAAAGCCCUUUUGUUGGGAAAGAAAAGCAGCAGGUUAAUACCCCGCUGUUCUGACGGUACCCAAAGAACAAGCACCGGCUAACUUCGUG